GAUGAACGCUGGCGGCGUGCCUAAUACAUGCCAGUCGAGCGAACAGAUGAGGAGCUUGCUCCUCUGACGUUAGCGGCGGACGGGUGAGUAACACGUGGAUAACCUACCUAUAAGACUGGGAUAACUUCGGGAAACCGGGGCUAAUACCGGAUAAUAUAUUGAACCGCAUGGUUCAAUAGUGAAAGACGGUUUUGCUGUCACUUAUAGAUGGAUCCGCGCCGCAUUAGCUAGUUGGUAAGGUAACGGCUUACCAAGGCAACGAUGCGUAGCCGACCUGAGAGGGUGAUCGGCCAAACUGGAACUGAGACACGGUCCAGACGCCUACGGGAGGCAGCAGUAGGGAAUCUUCCGCAAUGGGCGAAAGCCUGACGGAGCAACGCCGCGUGAGUGAUGAAGGUCUUCGGAUCGUAAAACUCUGUUAUUAGGGAAGAACAAAUGUGUAAGUAACUAUGCACGUCUUGACGGUACCUAAUCAGAAAGCCACGGCUAACUACGUG
rnacentral:rRNA from 1 species